ensembl:lncRNA
AUGGCCAUUUACUUAUUCAUUUGGUGGAAAAUUAUGUUUUUAAAAGGGAAAACAUGUUACUAUAUUGGGCAAUUAAUGCUAAUACAGCUUUAUUGUUCAGUUUUGUCAAAUCAUGAAGAGUGCCAUAGUGGCCUAGAGGUGAAGAUGCUCACUUGGAAGGUUGAGAGCAGGGGUGGAGAGUUCAAUAGGGUGCAAAGAGAAAAUGCCUGCUGCAAACUCUGUGUAGGCAUCAGGAAAGGCUAUCCAGUAAAUGCUCAACUCCAUUCAGUCCCCCUGAUUCCACCCCAAAUAAAGGAUUAUGGGGUUGUAAAAGAAAAAAAGAAAAUAAAGUAGGACAAUAGAAAAAGUUAAUUUUUGUUUCUAGUGACCAGGAUUAUUACUGAAAAACACUGGAAAACUGCAUUGUUCUUUUAGUACAAUUAUAUUUGAAAGUGUAGAAAAUAGUAUUGGUUGAAAAAUUAAGACAGCACCAAGUACAAUUGGACAGUUCUUUAAUUAAAGAUAAUUUUAAUCUCAUUUGAUCUCUAUCUUUUAAUUCAUAUUAGCAAUUUUUAAUAUAGGUAGUUCUUACAACUAUUUGUUUAGUAACCAUUUAAAGUUACAACAGCACUGAAAAAAGUAACUAAUGAUUGUUUUUCACACUUAAAACCAUUGCCCCAUGAUCAUAUGAUAAAAAUUUACAGGCUUGGCGACUGGCAUGUAUUUAUGGCAGUUGCCAUGUCCCAGGGUCAUGUGAUUACCUUUUACAACCUGACAAUCAAUGGGGAAGCUAGAUUAACUUAACAACUGUGUUACUAAUUUAACAACUGCUUGUGAUUACAUGUGAUUCAUUUAACAACUGUAAUCAGAAAGAUCGUAGCAUGGGACAAAACUCACUUAACAACUGUCUUGCUUAACAACAGGUUUUGGGCUCAAUUAUUUCUGCUACAUGAAACUUCUGAGGUAGUGAAUCUGGAAAAUGAAUUUUUAAAAAUUGAAUUUUUGCUUUUGUAUAAUUUGUUUUAUUUUGUUGUUCUUUUAUAUUUUCUAUUGAACAUUUUAUAAUUUAUAUUGAAAAAUAUUUUCAAAUAUUUUUAUUUUUAAAUAAAAUUUAAUUGUAAAAUAAUAAAAUAAAACAAAACGUUUCAUUUCCCCUUUCCUACACAUGGCUUCUAAAAGUUGUCCUGUUCUAUCUGAACCAUUGCCUACCUAGAUGUAGUUUCCAUUUUGAUUUUAUCUUCAUUCUUUAUUCUUUCUCCCCUUUCCUUACAAUCACAAAGUACAGAGAUGAUUGACAAUUUAUGAAUGUAAGGGAAGAGUAGGUUGCUUAUUUAUUUAUUUAUUUAUUUUAAUUACAUUUAUAUGCCGCCCUUCUCCGAAGACUCAGGGUGGCUUACAAUUUUUGGGAUACAACCCAGUGUGCUCAGCAAUAGCCUUCAUUCCAUUGUAUAUGCCUGCUUAUUACUAAGCGGCAUUUUUACAAAGUCAGCUUAUUGCCCCCAACAAUCUUGGGUCCUCAAUUUACCUACCCCGAGAGGAUGGAAGGCUGAGUCAACCUUGAGCCUGGUGGGAUUCGAGCCUACAGUAAUUGUAGACAGCUGGAACUUAAAUGCAGGCAUUUAACAGCCUGAGCCACCAAGGCCCUUUUGAUUGUAAUGGUAUCUCAUGAAAAGAAGAAAAGUAUAUUCAGAUGGGGGAUAGAGAUAACAGUGAGCAGGAAGUUGUUCAGAGGAGAGAACAAAAAGGGAAAAUAAUUAUCAAAGAGAUGUAAAAAUGAAAGCAUAACCUCACCACAUUAUGAAUUAAAAACAGCUGUGUAAAGCAAGAGAAAAUGAGAAUGAAUUUCUAAUACUGCACUUUCAGGAAGGACAAUUAGCUAUAGUUGCCUCAUUCUUACAGUAGCCCCAUAUGUAACUACCCUCCCUGAUCCCCGAGUCAUUAUUGGGACCUGCUGCUUAGCUCACUUUUACUUUACAAGCCUCAUUCUCCAACACAAAUUCUUGUUUUCCUAAUGUGAUAUGAAUCUAUUUUUUUCCUUUUGGAAGAGAUAUGAUCAGGUCUUGUGAGUCAAGUUUGGAAGCUUUUCUUUGUCUCACUGACCUCAGUCUCCACUUCAGUUGCGUUUUCUCGUUGGAGGGUUGGAAGUGCAGUAUGUUGGCCCACUUUCUUACCCAGGGCAGACUGUGCUUGAGGCAGCCCAGUCUGCUGAUCUAUAGAGACAGUUGGAAUUACUUUGUGUUCUGAUAUUCUAUCAUUGAGAUUCUGUUUAUUUGAUUCCACCUGAAAGGUCCUCUCAAAGCAGCAUGGUUUUGUUAAGUCAAUUCCAGAUGCUCUGGGAACCCAACAAGGGGGCAGCAUGCUGGAUGUCAACUGACCUGAAAAACUAAUUGGUUUUUUAACCUGAUCCACAUGAGGCAGUAGAGAGUGGGUGGGUUCCAGAAAAUCCAUGUCUGUAAAGCUGCCCACCUCUUCAUAGACAGGCUCUGACUCAGCUGGCUCCUGCUGUUCUUGAUGCAUUUUCAUUGGCUGUAAGGGGUCAAGACAGAAAGUAUGAGAUUUGUUCUUUGGGCUCGAGGAAAAAAAGGAGGAAAAAGGUUCUGUGUUCAUGAUAGGCUGCUUUGACUUUGGGGCUUCAGUUGAGGAUCUUAUUGUAUAGGCUAAGCCAAACAAGCUACUCAGAGAUCUGUGCAUAGGCUUAAGUUAGACAGCAAGAACACUUGGGAUCAACCAAAACUAAUAAAAAUGUUUGUUUGGCCUUGUGCUUUGGAGAUCAACUAAUAAUUACUUUUUGCUGUUUUGUGUUUUAGAUUCUAACUAAAGGCCUCAGUGCUUUUUGAAAGAUUUUUUUAGUUGAAGGCAAAUCAGAACAUUCUUGGGGGGGGGGGGCUUCAAAUCAGUCUUGGUUCCUGGUGACUGCCUGGGGAUAUCCCUGCAAUUUUCUUGGCAAGUUUUCAGGAGCGGUUUUUUUGUGUUAUUAUUCCCCAUGUAAAUGUUUUCAUUUUAAGUCAUAUUUAAAAAAUACAAUUUUGUAGCCAUUUUUUAAGAUGCUCUAGGAAUUGCACCCAAAAUGUCUUACAGUUAUUUGUAGCUCAGGAAUAUCCAGUUGUGCACUUCUGGUUUAAGAGCUGCCUUCAUAGCCCCAAUGUAAGAAUUCAUAUGGAAUUUAUAAUAUACUGAACUAUGGCUUUAAUAAAUCAACAAAUACUUACAAAGAACAUGGACAAUAUCCUUCGGGUGUGUAAGCGAUGCUGAAUGCAAAAGAAGAAAAAGUAGACAGAUGAAGCUGUAACAAUUUAUCCACAGAAAAGCAGGAAAAUA